UUGACUCAGUAAAAAGAAUGAGGCUAAGAGAGGAACCAAAAAAAAGGGUUUCUGAGGGUGGUUGCCGCCUCUCUCCAUGCCGAUGAUUUCCAUCAAAAAAAAAUUUUCAACAACCCUCAUAUUACAUACAUAUAUCGUAUGUAUAUAUGUAUGUAUUUAUAUAUAUAUAUAUAGAGAGAGAGAGAGACAGACAGAGACAGAGAGUGUGAUCAUGCAAAUGCAUAUAUACAGAGAUGAAAUGAAUACGGAGGAUGUAUGUUGUUAUUAUCAAAAAAGACGAUGAAAGAAAGAAAAAUAGAGAGGCUGUGAUGAUGAUUUUAUCAAUCUGAGUCAAUUAAUCGGUUCAUGGUUUGAGAUUAUUCGUAUCUUGGCAGGGCAUAAUAUUAUAAUUAUAGUAAUAUAUAGAUUCAGAGGAUGGCAGAUUACUUAUUUGCAACCUCUGUUUGUAUUAUUUUUAUUAUUAUAAUUGCAGCCAUGGCGUUUUGAUCGGAACUUUUCCGAUUGUAAAACAGAUCUGAGCCCUCAUUUCUUUCAAAAAAAAAUUUUCUCUUAAUUAUGUACAUUAUUUGUUUAAAAGGAACGGCAUGUUAUACGUGACUGGUUUCUUAAAAGGCAAGCGGACCAGGUUUUCCUGGUUAGGUUAUUUGGGAGAUGCGAGUGUUCAUGACUUAGAUGUAUGUGGUAUAACUGGGUCCUGAUUAUCCCAUUAUCGUUUUCGAACCCUUCCAUUGGCCAUCCGAAGAUAUAACCAGUGAGAUUUAAGAUCUCUUGUAAAGAUUUAAGUUGAACUUUGAUUUCUAUUACUAUUAUGUAUUUCUUUUUUGAUCCUUAAUGAGCAAUGACCACCCCUUUGAUGGUUGGAUAUU